ensembl:misc_RNA Metazoa_SRP Metazoan signal recognition particle RNA
GCCGGGCAUGGUGCACGCGCCUGUAGUCCCAGUUACUCAGGAGGCUGAUUCAGGAGGAUCGCUUGAGACCAGGAGUCCGAGGCUGCAGUGAGCUGUGAUCAUGCCACUGCACUCCAGCCUGGGCAAUACAGCAAUAUCCUGUCUCUA